rnacentral:rRNA from 1 species
UACGUAGGGGGCAAGCGUUGUCCGGAAUCAUUGGGCGUAAAGAGCGUGUAGGCGGCCAGAUAAGUCCGCUGUGAAAACUCGAGGCUCAACUUCGAGCUGUCGGCGGAAACUAUCUGGCUAGAGUCCGGAAGAGGAGAGUGGAAUUCCUGGUGUAGCGGUGAAAUGCGCAGAUAUCAGGAAGAACACCCGUGGCGAAGGCGGGUCUCUGGGCAGUAACUGACGCUGAGGAGCGAAAGCGUGGGGAGCGAACAGG